UUUGAUUUUCUUCGGAACUGAAGAUUUGGUGACUGAGUGGCGGACGGGUGAGUAACGCGUGGGUAACCUGCCCUAUACAGGGGGACAACAGUUGGAAACGACUGCUAAUACCGCAUAAGCGCACAGUACCGCAUGGUACAGAGCGAAAAACUCCGGUGGUAUAGGAUGGGCCCGCGUCUGAUUAGCUAGUUGGAGGUGUAACGGACCACCAAGGCGACGAUCAGUAGCCGGCUUGAGAGAGUGAACGGCCACAUUGGGACUGAGACACGGCCCAAACUCC
rnacentral:rRNA from 1 species